UGUGCUAAGGUAGCGCACUCGCUUAGGACGUCCCUUACGGUGAUAAGGUUCCGUG
rnacentral:tRNA from 1 species